rnacentral:rRNA from 1 species
AAACCAACAGGGAUUGCCCUAGUAACGGCGAGUGAAGCGGCAACAGCUCAAAUUUGAAAGCUAGCCUUCGGGUUCGCAUUGUAAUUUGUAGAGGAUGAUUUGGGGAAGCCGCCUGUCUAAGUUCCUUGGAACAGGACGUCAUAGAGGGUGAGAAUCCCGUAUGUGACAGGAAAUGGCACCCUAUGUAAAUCUCCUUCGACGAGUCGAGUUGUUUGGGAAUGCAGCUCUAAAUGGGAGGUAAAUUUCUUCUAAAGCUAAAUAUUGGCGAGAGACCGAUAGCGCACAAGUAGAGUGAUCGAAAGAUGAAAAGCACUUUGGAAAGAGAGUUAAAAAGCACGUGAAAUUGUUGAAAGGGAAGCGCUUGCAAUCAGACUUGUUUAAACUGUUCGGCCGGUCUUCUGACCGGUUUACUCAGUUUGGACAGGCCAGCAUCAGUUUCGGCGGCCGGAUAAAGGCUCUGGGAAUGUGGCCUCCACUUCGGUGGAGGUGUUAUAGCCCAGGGUGUAAUACGGCCAGCCGGGACUGAGGUCCGCGCUUCGGCUAGGAUGCGGCGUAAUGGGUUGUAAGCGAC